rnacentral:rRNA from 1 species
UACGUAGGCAGCGAGCGUUGUUCGGAAUUACUGGGCGUAAAGAGUGUGUAGGCGGUGCUCUAAGUUCGGUGUGAAAUCUCCCGGCUUAACUGGGAGGGUGCGCCGGAAACUGGAGUGCUCGAGCGUGGGAGAGGAAAGCGGAAUUCCUGGUGUAGCGGUGAAAUGCGUAGAUAUCAGGAGGAACACCAGAGGCGAAGGCGGCUACCUGGACAAUUGCUGACGCUCAGGCACGAAAGCGUGGGGAGCAAAAGGG